UACAGAGGUCCCAAGCGUUUGUUCGGAUUCACUGGGCGUAAAGGGUGCGCAGGUGGGUUGGCAAGUUCGAUGUGAAAGCCCCGGGCUUAACCCGGGAAUGGCAUUGGAUACUGCUGAUCUGGAGGAUCGGAGGGGGAGACUGGAAUUCCUGGUGUAGCGGUGGAAUGCGCAGAUAUCAGGAGGAACACCGGUGGCGAAGGCGGGUCUCUGGGCAGUAACUGACGCUGAGGAGCGAAAGCGUGGGGAGCGAACAGG
rnacentral:rRNA from 1 species